rnacentral:rRNA from 1 species
GACGAACGCUGGCGGCGUGCUUAACACAUGCAAGUCGAACGAUGAUCAGGAGCUUGCUCCUGUGAUUAGUGGCGAACGGGUGAGUAACACGUGAGUAACCUGCCCCUGACUCUGGGAUAAGCGUUGGAAACGACGUCUAAUACUGGAUAUGAUCACUGGCCGCAUGGUCUGGUGGUGGAAAGAUUUUUUGGUUGGGGAUGGACUCGCGGCCUAUCAGCUUGUUGGUGGGGUAAUGGCUCACCAAGGCGACGACGGGUAGCCGGCCUGAGAGGGUGACCGGCCACACUGGGACUGAGACACGGCCCAGACUCCUACGGGAGGCAGCAGUGGGGAAUAUUGCACAAUGGGCGAAAGCCUGAUGCAGCAACGCCGCGUGAGGGAUGACGGCCUUCGGGUUGUAAACCUCUUUUAGUAGGGAAGAAGCGAAAGUGACGGUACCUGCAGAAAAAGCACCGGCUAACUACGUG